CGGAAGCCAUAAAGAACGUCCGCCGAUACUCGGGAGGAUGGUAGAGACUGGAGAAAGGCUCCACAAAUCCUGAACUGAAGAAACAGAAAAAUAACAGAUCCAGUUCCUUAAACCUGAAAGUGGACAUGCAUUGUUAAGGUCUCUUGUAGCUUGUGGAGGCAUGUGGACUACUAGACUUUGCUCACCUUCUGGGUGUCUGACUGAGAGUGAAAAUCUAUAGAAGAUAGAAGCCAACUAAGGUAUUGACAGUGCACUCACAGGUAAGUAGGGAAUUCUUCUUGAACUGAAAUUACACCCCUGUUGCCAG
rnacentral:lncRNA from 1 species